rnacentral:rRNA from 1 species
UACGUAGGGUGCGAGCGUUAAUCGGAAUUACUGGGCGUAGAGCGUGCGCAGGCGGUUUUGUAAGCCGGAUGUGAAAUCCCCGGGCUUAACCUGGGAAUGGCAUUCGGGACUGCAAGGCUGGAGUGCGGCAGAGGAGACUGGAAUUCCUGGUGUAGCAGUGAAAUGCGUAGAUAUCAGGAGGAACACCGAUGGCGAAGGCAAUCCCCUGGGCCUGCACUGACGCUCAUGCACGAAAGCGUGGGGAGCAAACAGG